AGAGGCAGAGAAUGAGAGGGAAAGGGAGAUGGGGAGAUAGUGGAAAAGGGGAAGAAAGUAGAGGUGAUAGAAAAGGAGAGAGAGAAGAGAGAGAGGAAGACUGACAUUAAGGGAGAGAAGUGAGAGGUGAGAGGUUAAGGGAAGAGAUAGCAAGGUGGAGGGAGUCAUGGGACAAGGAGUAGGGUGGAAUAUACUGUAGCAACACGGGUGACGCCUCUCUCUCACUUUUUUUUUACCCAUCUAUUGUUUUUAUUAUAAUUCUGUGGACCAUGCUGUCGAUCGCUAAUGAGGUCGUCUUACAGGUAGAAGCCCUAGUUACUCUGUCCACAGCACAAUGAAGUAUAUCUUCCUCCUCCCACCCUCCAUUCCUCCCUCCUAUCCUUUGUCUGCAGGUCUAGAGGGUGCGAGGUGGACUCAAAGAAGUGUUGUUUUGUGCAAGGCCUAUAUAUUGAUCAAUGCUUCUGUCCUGCUCAUCAUUCCACCAGCAUCUCUCAUCCUGCACAUGAUGACACAAGACUCCAAAGGAAUGACUACCAGUCUGCUGGGACUGCUCCUAUGCACCACCAUCUCCUCUGCGAUGCAUACUUCACCCACAGGGGGAUACAACGAGAUGCCCCCUCUCCCGUUCACAAGCUCCCAAGACAGCCCCAUCCCCCCUACGGACAUCCACAUGUACCCAAUGCGAUCUGACUACCCUAUGCCCACCAACAACCAAAACAUGAAGGCCCACAGCGGUCCAAUGCCCCCCUCCGACUACCCCAAUCCUGGCUUCCCCUUGCCACCAAGCACUCACAUGAACAUGACUGGGAACUGGCGAACUGGGGAACUGCUGGUAGUUGAGGCCGGGUCGGAGCCGGACAUGUCGUACUGCCAGACACUUCUGGAUGUGCCAGUGCCUCCCCCCAUGGACCAGGUGCCCUGGUUCUGUGUCUGCUCCCGCUGCAAGGCCAGCGUGGGACCCAAAGGGGACAGAGGAGACAGGGGCCUGCCAGGUAUUCCAGGAAGUCCUGGGAGAAGAGGACUCACAGGGUUCAGAGGUCAGCCUGGGUUCGUGGGCCGCCAAGGACUGAAGGGUCAGAAGGGUGAUGAAAAUGAGAAGGGAGAACGUGGGCUAGUGGGUUUCACUGGCACCAAGGGGGCCCGCGGCUUCAAAGGUCAGUCAAACAACAGAUGCAGAACAUAAACUCAUCUCUCCAU
rnacentral:lncRNA from 1 species